rnacentral:rRNA from 1 species
UACGGAAGGCAGCAGUGGGGAAUAUUGGACAAUGGGCGAAAGCCUGAUCCAGCCAUGCCGCGUGUGUGAAGAAGGCCUUUUGGUUGUAAAGCACUUUAAGCGAGGAGGAGGCUACUUAGAUUAAUACUCUAGGAUAGUGGACGUUACUCGCAGAAUAAGCACCGGCUAACUCUGUGCCAGCAGCCGCGGUAAUACAGAGGGUGCGAGCGUUAAUCGGAUUUACUGGGCGUAAAGCGUGCGUAGGCGGCUUCUUAAGUCGGAUGUGAAAUCCCUGAGCUUAACUUAGGAAUUGCAUUCGAUACUGGGAAGCUAGAGUAUGGGAGAGGAUGGUAGAAUUCCAGGUGUAGCGGUGAAAUGCGUAGAGAUCUGGAGGAAUACCGAUGGGCGAAGGGCAGCCAUCUGGGCCUAAUACUGACGCUGAGGUACGAAAGCAUGGGGAGCAAACAGGGAUUAGAUACC